AACAAGCAGCAGCUGCUGGGGAGCAGGAGAUUAUUUAGGUGGGCUUCCAGGGGCAUCCUGUAACUGUAGGGUUGAGCUUGUGGGGGCUCUGCUUGGGGUUGUUUGCUGCCUUUGGAUGGGGCUCCUGUCCUGGCUCUCUCUGUCAGAUCUCACUUAGCUACCAGUCCACCCUUGGAUUAUGGGAACUGGUGAGGCCAAGCAUUGGGAAGACACCUUGUCCCUCCUCAGCUUUGCUUCACCACGUGGUGCCAGAUAGGAAGCCUGUUUAGCGAUGUCACUUGUUCCUGCCUUCCCUGGGUGAGGGUGCUCUGUGUGCAAAUGGACAAACACUUCCAUUUGCAAAGGACUUCCUGUCUAUGCCAGCAGCUACAAACCCAUCCUUUUUUGCCCAGGCCUGUGACCAUGCUGGAGAGGCUGUUUGGGGAGCCCCAUGGGCUGCCUCCCUGCUGUUCUGCACUGUGUGCUUGGGCACAGUUGGCCAUGAGCCUCCAGAAGCCUGGGAGAAUAGCACUGGUUCAGAGAAAGCCCAACCUGGAGCUCUCCCCUCAGCAGGCCAGAAGCCUGGGUCUGUGACCCUGUCACCAUGAGCAGGCCUUGUCGCCACCCCUUGAGUGUAGACCCUGGGGUUUGGGCAAGCUGAGGAGAGGCAGGGCAGCCAGAAAGUGACACCAUGUCUCCUUGUCAGCUUCUCAAUCCCCUAGGGUCAACACUGGUCAGGGACACUUGUCAGGACCUGCUGCACAUGUGGGGCAGACAGAGUUGAUGCCAGGAUGGGACACAGCUUGGUGCUGCCCCAGCCUCGCUUAGAGUACGACCAAACCCUGGGCUGGGUCCUCCAUGGAGCCCUCUCCACAUGGAGCCCUGUGCCAGUGCACUGCUUCCACUGCAUCUGGCAGCACAGGCCCCAGCACUGUGG
rnacentral:lncRNA from 1 species